GGCGCGAUAGCAAAUCGGUUAUGCCCCGGAUUGCAAAUCCGGUUAGGCCGGUUCGACUCCGGCUCGCGCCUCCA
rnacentral:tRNA from 2 species